GAGAAAUCAGCUACCUUGGUGCUGAAAACAGUAGCUUUGACAUCCUCUAAACAGGAAUAAUCCAGGAACAGUGAGGAAAGUGCUGCUGCUGCUUCUCCAGCAGCUGUAGUUGUUCCUGCGAGAGGAGCCCAGGUGAGCAGCUGCUGGCUGAUCAUAAAGUCUGGAAGCAAACAACAAAUGUCCAAGCAGUUAUUUCUUCCCUAAACUUAGAAUGAAUCCGUAGUAAGAAACCAUUGGCCUUCUCUACAGCACCUUUACCCCAUAGCUCUGAGGGCUUUACGAAGGUAGGUUAAUAUGGCUUUGUCUUCCUAGUGCAUUCCAAAAAUUUAACUAACCCUCAACAUCCCUAUGAGAUGAGCAGGUA
rnacentral:lncRNA from 1 species